UCCCUGUUACCAGGGCAGUCUAAAUAGAAAUAUCCAACUAUUUACAAGGGUUGCGCUCGUUAAUGGACUUAACCAAACAUCUCACGACACGAGCUGACGACGGCCAUGCAUCACCUGUCACUUGGUCCAAAAGGAACACCCUUCUUUCGAAGUGGCUGCCAAGGAUGUCAAACCUGGGUAAGGUUCUUCGCUUAUCGUCGAAUUAAACAACACGCUCCACCGCUUGUGCGGGUCCCCGUCAAUUCCUUUAUGUUUUAAGCUUGCGCUCGUACUCCACAGGCGGGAUGCUUAACGCGUUAGCUUCGCUACUACAAGGGUCGAUACUCAUAACAGCUAGCAUCCAUCGUUUACAGCGUGGACUAC
rnacentral:misc_RNA from 1 species